ACUGCCACUCCUACCGUCACUCUAGAGGUCCCUCUCACUUCUCCAAUGUGCCUCUUGAGAACUUAAACCAGCACAACCAUCGUAGCCCCAACAACUUCUGUGGAGGCAAUCACCGGCCCUUUGAGAGCCCUCCUCGCCAAUCCCCUGACAGCUUUAGGGGAGGAGGCUUCAGGCCAAUUGGUGGCGCUGGUGGAGGUUUCGGCCCCAAUUAUCAUCAGAAAUUGCCUCUUUCGGGUCAGAAGCGAGGGUUCCUUUUGUCUGGCCUUGGAGGCUCUCCACCAGUUCGCCCUUAGACUUUUGUGUUUGUGCCAUAUGUCUAAAAACUCUGAAUUCUAUGUUGCUCGUAUUCCAGGCGCGUUUCUGUGGCGCAUUACCAACUGGAUUGUUUGGAGCUUUACUUCACUCAUGUUUGUAUUGUUAAAUUGUUUUAAAGAAUUUAUUUAUUUUUUCCUAUCAGUGCUGGUUAAUAGCUCUAGUCGAUUUUUGGAUGAAUUCGUGGUAGUGCAUAGAGACUCAUGGUUGAAUGCAGCAUCGAAGUGAUUUGUAGUUUCCUUUUUAUUUUAUCUAUCUAUUAUGUUCCCUACAUACCUGCAUCUUCUGUUUCUUUUCUCGUGUUUACACUUUCUGAGAAUUUUGAUGGUGGGAGUUUUACCAAACUAUUUGUUGGACCUGUUCCAAGGACAGCCGCUAAGGAAAAUAUUCGCCCUUUGUUUGGAGAGCAUGGAAAUGUUAUAGAGGUUGCUCUGAUCAAAGAUAAAAGAACAGGACAACAAGAAGGUGCGUGUUAAAGCUAUUUUCUAUGAAAUGAUUGUGAUCCAUGCUUAUCUUAUUUCAGGCCAUCUGGGAGGCUGAUGGGAGCUAGUGUAAGCUCAUCUUCCGUCUCAGUUGAUUUUGCAACAAGUUUCAGGCUUGUUGGUUUUGGUUGCGACCCUUUUUUGUGUCCAUCCUGUCAAACAAGAAAGAAGCCUAACCCACUAAAAACCAGCUUUUGUAUAUCAAUCGGGAUCUUGGAAGACAAAUAGAUCCGGCUCUUGGAAUUGUAGCUGCUGAGGUGGAAGCAUUACCCAACAAAUCAUUUGUAAUGGGAGUGUCUAUUGCCGUAACUGUAGCGUGUUUAUGACAGGGUGGUUAGGAUUGUUGCUAUUGUACAGAGAUUGACACCAAAUACUUGGAUUAUUGUUUCUGAAUGGAAUUAGUCUCAUUGUAAUUUGCAAUUGUGUGUGGUUUUUACUUAUCCUGGUGAACCUGGGAGUUCUUUCAAAUGUCUCGGAUUGUAAUAUUUCAAUUCUUUUCGUAUUGGUUAGGUGAGAUUGAUCAUCUGUUAGCGAUUUAUGGUGAUUAGAUUUAAUGGAUUGUGAUA